AGUGAACGCUGGCGGUAGGCCUAACACAUGCCAGUCGAACGGCAGCACAGUAAGAGCUUGCUCUUACGGGUGGCGAGUGGCGGACGGGUGAGGAAUACAUCGGAAUCUACUUUUUCGUGGGGGAUAACGUAGGGAAACUUACGCUAAUACCGCAUACGACCUACGGGUGAAAGCAGGGGAUCUUCGGACCUUGCGCGAUUGAAUGAGCCGAUGUCGGAUUAGCUAGUUGGCGGGGUAAAGGCCCACCAAGGCGACGAUCCGUAGCUGGUCUGAGGGGAUGAUCAGCCACACUGGAACUGAGACACGGUCCAGACUCCUACGGGAGGCAGCAGUGGGGAAUAUUGGACAAUGGGCGCAAGCCUGAUCCAGCCAUACCGCGUGGGUGAAGAAGGCCUUCGGGUUGUAAAGCCCUUUUGUUGGGAAAGAAAGGCAGCAGGUUAAUACCCCGCUGUUCUGACGGUACCCAAAGAAUAAGCACCGGCUAACUUCGUG
rnacentral:rRNA from 1 species